CUUUACUAAGUCUAUAUAUAUUAAACAAAAUCCUUACUGACUCUAAACUCUCUGAGCCCACAUGGACUUGAAGUAAUUGAGGACUUAAAAACAUAUACUAAAAAAACUUGAGAAUUCAUUAAAAUUCACACAACUAAACAUAUCCUAUCUAUACUAUGUUAAUCAUCCGAAUCCUAACCGGAGAAGUGAUUUACAUCACUUAUAUAUUCCACUAAUUAUGAGCCCUUCAUCAUCAUGGUAAAGA
rnacentral:misc_RNA from 1 species